UAUUAGACAAGGAAAUGUGUAAAAUCUCCCGCUUGAUCAUCAUCGUUGCACGUUGAACUGCAGUCUCAAGGAGGAAGGAACUUGAGAACUCUCUCACGACAAGAAAAAUCUAAGAAAAAAUGAGUUUGGUUCUUAGUGGUUGUCUGAAUCUCAAUUCAUCCAGAAUCUCGAGCUAUAAAUUUCAGAAAAGAAAUAUAUCUGGGCAAUGUAAAACAACGACCAAGAUGCUCGUCAGAGCUUCCGUAGAUGAUGAUGAUACUGGACGAGCUAUUGUCACAUCCGACAUCAGUGGAAGUAGUAGCUUGCAUGUCAAUGCUUUGGUCACUGCUGUUGCAGCUGCAAAUUUGUUUGCAAUAGAUCCAGCAACGGCUUUGACUCUGGAAGACUUAUGUCAGGAAGGAGCAUCAUACAUCCCUCCUUUGGCAGAUAUAGGCUUCGGUGAUUGGUUUGGAGGCGUAUUAUUUUCAGCUGGGCAGAACGCUAAUGAAGCAGUUCAGGACCAGUUAGCAGCUCUGAGUUUUACUAGUUUAGCAGUUAUUUUUGGGGCAGGGCUUGUAACUAGCUUAUCCCCUUGUACACUUAGUGUCCUUCCACUGACUCUUGGUUACAUUGGGGCAUUUGGAUCCGGGAAAAGCAGAGGACAGUCUUUCUUUUCUGGUUAUAUUCUGGGGGAUUCAGUUGCUUUCUCAUUGGGACUAGCAACAACAUUAGCAAUCCUAGGUGUGGCUGCCUCUGUUGCUGGGAAGGCUUACGGACAAGUAGGGCAGGGGCUACCAGUGUUUGCUUCUGGCUUGGCUGUGGUUAUGGGUUUAAAUCUGUUGGAGGUUAUUGAGUUGCGACUCCCCUCAUUUUUCGACAACUUCGACCCACGUGCUGCGGCUGCUAAUUUCCCUUCAAGUGUACAAGCAUAUUUGGCUGGGCUUACAUUUGCGCUGGCUGCCUCACCUUGCAGUACACCUGUGCUAGCCACUCUGCUCGGAUAUGUAGCAACAUCCAAGGACCCCAUUAUAGGAGGUACCUUGCUGCUGACAUACACUACCGGCUAUGUGGCUCCACUUCUUCUUGCUGCUUCUUUUGCGGGUGCGUUGCAGGUAUAGUUUUGCUCAACUUUGAUAAACCAGAAAGAACUAUCUGAGAGAACUUAGUGAUAUCAUUAUCUGGAUAUCGUCAUUUACUUUACUUGGAUGAUUUUUUCUUUCUUUCUUCACUAUCUAAUCAAAGCAACAAGGAUAAUUUAAAUCAAUUCAUUGAAAUGCAUGUCUUAUUUGAUGUGCGGAGCUUGUUGUCAUUUCGUAAAUUCUCGGCAUGGAUUAACCCUACAAGUGGUGCACUCCUGUUGGGAGGAGGCAUUUACACUUUCUUGGAUAGGCUCUUCCCUGUCACAAUGGCAAUGUAGGGAUCAAGUUUUUGUGAAAACAACUGCUAAGAUGCAAGUCCAAAGGAAAAAACAUGUGCAAGCUGUUCUAUAUUUGUAUUGUUUUACACUCGCUUGAUCUUUUAUAAAAUGUGAAAAGACAGAGCUUGUUACCACUUACAGUUACAUGUUUAACCAUCUUGUUGUAUACCAUGUAUAUAUAUGCAAUGGAAGCUUCCUCAUUCUGUUCUUGGAUGA